rnacentral:rRNA from 1 species
AUGAGUUUGAUCCUGGCUCAGAAUGAACGCUAAUAGUAUGCUUUACACAUGCAAGUCUAACGAAUUUUUCGUGGCAAACGGGUGAGGAAUAAAUAGAUUUUAACCUUUUGGAAAAAAAUAAAACAUAAUCUUCUUUAUCUAUAAUUUUGACUAAAAAUAUUUUAUUAUUUGUGUUAAUGUUUUAUAAAAAUUACUAAAAAUAUUGAUAGAUAUAAUUAUUUAUAUCUGUAUUAAUGUGCCAAAAGAUAAAUCUGUUUAAGAUUAGGUUGUUGGUAGAAAAGACUACCAAGCCGUUGAUCUUUAGUUGAUUUGAGAGAAUGAUCAACCACACUGGAACUGAGACAAGGUCCAGGCUAAUGUUUUGGCCAGCAGUGAGGAAUAUUGGACAAUGAACGAAAGUUUGAUCCAGCAAUACUAUAUGAAUGAUGAAAGCUAAUUUGGUUGUAAAGUUCUUUCAAUUAAUUAUGAUAAUGACAUAAAUUAAAGAAGAAGUCCCGGCAAAUCUCGUGCCAGCAGCCGCGGUAAUACGUAGGGUGCGAGCGUUAUCCGGAAUUAUUGGGCGUAAAGAGCUCGUAGGCGGUUUGUCGCGUCUGUCGUGAAAGUCCGGGGCUUAACCCCGGAUCUGCGGUGGGUACGGGCAGACUAGAGUGCAGUAGGGGAGACUGGAAUUCCUGGUGUAGCGGUGGAAUGCGCAGAUAUCAGGAGGAACACCGAUGGCGAAGGCAGGUCUCUGGGCUGUAACUGACGCUGAGGAGCGAAAGCAUGGGGAGCGAACAGGAUUAGAUACCCUGGUAGU